GAUGAACGCUGGCGGCGUGCCUAAUACAUGCAAGUCGAGCGAACAGACGAGGAGCUUGCUCCUUCGACGUUAGCGGCGGACGGGUGAGUAACACGUAGAUAACCUACCUAUAAGACUGGGAUAACUUCGGGAAACCGGAGCUAAUACCGGAUAAUAUUUCGCACCGCAUGGUUCGAUAGUGAAAGAUGGCUUUGUUGGCAGUAAUAGAUGGACCUGCGCCUUAUUAGCUAGUUGGUAAGGUAACGGCUUACCAAGGCAACGAUUGGUAGCCGACCUGAGAGGGUGGACGGGCACAUUGGGACUGAGAUAGGCAGCAGACUGCUAUGUGCGGCAGCAGUGGGGAACAUGACGGAGUGACGGCGCGUGUGUGGCGGCGGUGCUGCGUGCGUGAUACCCGGUUACUAGUGGUAAACCAAUGUGUAAGGUGCCGUAGAGGUCGUGACGGUACCGGAUCAGGAAGCAACGGCUAACUACGUG
rnacentral:rRNA from 1 species